GGGAAUGCGGGGCUAUACAUGCAAGUCGAACGCUUCUUUUUCCACCGGAGCUUGCUCCACCGGAAAAAGAGGAGUGGCGAACGGGUGAGUAACACGUGGGUAACCUGCCCAUCAGAAGGGGAUAACACUUGGAAACAGGUGCUAAUACCGUAUAACAAUCGAAACCGCAUGGUUUUGAUUUGAAAGGCGCUUUCGGGUGUCGCUGAUGGAUGGACCCGCGGUGCAUUAGCUAGUUGGUGAGGUAACGGCUCACCAAGGCCACGAUGCAUAGCCGACCUGAGAGGGUGAUCGGCCACAUUGGGACUGAGACACGGCCCAAACUCCUACGGGAGGCAGCAGUAGGGAAUCUUCGGCAAUGGACGAAAGUCUGACCGAGCAACGCCGCGUGAGUGAAGAAGGUUUUCGGAUCGUAAAACUCUGUUGUUAGAGAAGAACAAGGAUGAGAGUAACUGUUCAUCCCUUGACGGUAUCUAACCAGAAAGCCACGGCUAACUACGUGCCAGCAGCCGCGGUAAUACGUAGGUGGCAAGCGUUGUCCGGAUUUAUUGGGCGUAAAGCGAGCGCAGGCGGUUUCUUAAGUCUGAUGUGAAAGCCCCCGGCUCAACCGGGGAGGGUCAUUGGAAACUGGGAGACUUGAGUGCAGAAGAGGAGAGUGGAAUUCCAUGUGUAGCGGUGAAAUGCGUAGAUAUAUGGAGGAACACCAGUGGCGAAGGCGGCUCUCUGGUCUGUAACUGACGCUGAGGCUCGAAAGCGUGGGGAGCAAACAGGAUUAGAUACCCUGGUAGUCCACGCCGUAAACGAUGAGUGCUAAGUGUUGGAGGGUUUCCGCCCUUCAGUGCUGCAGCUAACGCAUUAAGCACUCCGCCUGGGGAGUACGACCGCAAGGUUGAAACUCAAAGGAAUUGACGGGGGCCCGCACAAGCGGUGGAGCAUGUGGUUUAUUUCGAAGCAACGCGAAGAACCUUACCAGGUCUUGACAUCCUUUGACCACUCUAGAGAUAGAGCUUCCCCUUCGGGGGCAAAGUGACAGGUGGUGCAUGGUUGUCGUCAGCUCGUGUCGUGAGAUGUUGGGUUAAG
rnacentral:rRNA from 1 species